rnacentral:rRNA from 1 species
UAGAGUUUGAUCAUGGCUCAGAUUGAACGCUGGCGGCAUGCCUUACACAUGCAAGUCGAACGGUAACAGGGAGCUUGCUCCGCUGACGAGUGGCGAACGGGUGAGUAAUGUAUCGGAACGUACCAUUCAGUGGGGGAUAACGUAGCGAAAGUUACGCUAAUACCGCAUAUUCUGUGCGCAGGAAAGCAGGGGAUCGCAAGACCUUGCGCUGAUUGAGCGGCCGAUAUCAGAUUAGCUAGUUGGUGAGGUAAGAGCUCACCAAGGCGACGAUCUGUAGCGGGUCUGAGAGGAUGAUCCGCCACACUGGAACUGAGACACGGUCCAGACUCCUACGGGAGGCAGCAGUGGGGAAUUUUGGACAAUGGGGGCAACCCUGAUCCAGCCAUGCCGCGUGAGUGAAGAAGGCCUUCGGGUUGUAAAGCUCUUUCAGCCGGGAAGAAAAUGCAUGGGUUAAUACCCUGUGCAGAUGACGGUACCGGAAUAAGAAGCACCGGCUAACUACGUGCCAGCAGCCGCGGUAAUACGUAGGGUGCGAGCGUUAAUCGGAAUUACUGGGCGUAAAGCGUGCGCAGGCGGUUUUGUAAGACAGGCGUGAAAUCCCCGGGCUUAACCUGGGAACUGCGUUUGUGACUGCAAGGCUAGAGUACGGCAGAGGGGGGUGGAAUUUCACGUGUAGCAGUGAAAAUGCGUAGAGAUGUGGAGGAACACCAAUGGCGAAGGCAGCCCCCUGGGGUCGAUACUGACGCUCAUGCACGAAAGCGUGGGUAGCAAAACAGGAUUAGAUACCCUGGUAGUCCACGCCCUAAACGAUGUCAACUAGGUGUUGGGAGGGUAAAACCUUUUAGUACCGUAGCUAACGCGAGAAGUUGACCGCCUGGGGAGUACGGCCGCAAGGUUAAAACUCAAAGGAAUUGACGGGGACCCGCACAAGCGGUGGAUGAUGUGGAUUAAUUCGAUGCAACGCGAAAAACCUUACCUACCCUUGACAUGUCAGGAACUUUCCAGAGAUGGAUUGGUGCCCGAAAGGGAAUCUGAACACAGGUGCUGCAUGGCUGUCGUCAGCUCGUGUCGUGAGAUGUUGGGUUAAGUCCCGCAACGAGCGCAACCCUUGUCGUUAAUUGCCAUCAUUUAGUUGGGCACUUUAACGAGACUGCCGGUGACAAACCGGAGGAAGGUGGGGAUGACGUCAAGUCCUCAUGGCCCUUAUGGGUAGGGCUUCACACGUCAUACAAUGGUCGGUACAAAGGGUCGCCAACCCGCGAGGGGGAGCCAAUCCCAUAAAGCCGAUCGUAGUCCGGAUUGUAGGCUGCAACUCGCCUGCAUGAAGUCGGAAUCGCUAGUAAUCGUGGAUCAGCAUGUCACGGUGAAU